UCGGAUGUGGUGCACGGCGCACGCCCGCUUCCUUGUAUGGAAGGUGCAUGCUGAUUGAAGCGGGAGACUUGGGUUCGACUCCCAGCGUCCGAA